UACGUAGGGUGCAAGCGUUGUCCGGAAUUAUUGGGCGUAAAGAGCGCGCAGGCGGUCGUUCAAGUCGCGUGUGAAAGCCCCCGGCUCAACUGGGGAGGGUCACGCGAUACUGAUCGACUCGAAGGCAGGAGAGGGUAGUGGAAUGCCCGGUGUAGUGGUGAAAUGCGUAGAUAUCGGGAGGAACACCAGUGGCGAAGGCGACUACCUGGCCUGUUCUUGACGCUGAGGCGCGAAAGCUAGGGGAGCAAACGGG
rnacentral:rRNA from 1 species